AUUCGCUUCGGCGGUAGAUUUACUGAAAUUGGAACGAUACAGAGAAGAUUAGCAUGACCCGCGCGGAAGGACGAGACGAAAAAUCGCGGCUGGCACGGCAGCUCA